UAAGGAAUAUUGGACAAUGGUCGCAAGACUGAUCCAGCCAUGCCGCGUGCAGGAAGACGGCCCUAUGGGUUGUAAACUGCUUUUGUACCAGAGAAAACCUAUCUACGUGUAGAUAGCUGAUAGUAUGGUAAGAAUAAGCAUCGGCUAACUUCGUGCCAGCAGCCGCGGUAAGACGAAGGAUGCAAGCGUUAUCCGGAUUUACUGGGUUUAAAGGGUGCGUAGGUGGGCUUAUAAGUCAGUGGUGAAAUCUCCGAGCUUAACUUGGAAACUGCCGAUGAUACUAUAGGUCUUGAAUUAUCUGGAGGUAAGCAGAAUAUGUCAUGUAGCGGUGAAAUGCUUAGAUAUGACAUAGAACACCAAUUGCGAAGGCAGCUUACUACAUAUAAAUUGACGCUGAGGCACGAAAG
rnacentral:rRNA from 1 species